GAACCAAUGGUUGUGCCUGAGUCUUAUCACCUCUCAACUAGGUAAGCUGUUUUAACCUGGGACACUAUUGGUCUGUUUAAGUCAUUGCUGGAAGUCACCUGAAGAACAGGAGUGUGUGACGGGUUUUGUCCCAGGCCAACUCUAACAACUGACUCAACAUAACAAACCACGGCGAUAGGCUAUGGUUUUUUGUGCUGGGCUGAAACAAAAGCUUAUACACGCUCUUGUCAUUCAGAUCUGGGGAUGUCCACCGUUUUUGAGUCAUUUCUGUACUAUGGGUACAAUAUGCUCCUCUCAAGUUGAACUUGAACUUGUUGACUGAUGCCAAGGCCUUGGCUGUUAAGAAGAAGGAAGCAGCUGUGGACCAGAAGACUGCAGACAAGGCAGCACUGGUCCACACCUGUCCUGUCUGUCAGAUGCAGACCUGAAGACAUUCAAGCAGCACUUUGAGAGCAAGCAUCCCAAGACUCCAAUGGUCCCAGUACUGGUUGAUGUGCAGGCCUAAGUGACCACACACACUCAAAUGGACCUACAGCUGAGAAACACAAUUACCACGAUUUAAAUGCUGCUUACUGAGACGGAAUAACGUCGAGGGACACACACUGAGUAUGACUGGACAUGAGCCGGAUAUUUGUGACAACGACCUAAAAAGGCGUUCAGAAGCACACCAGCAUGCCAUGUUAUGUUUAUUCCAUGGCCAACCAUCCCUUCAGUUACCUCUUAUUCCACACUAUGCCUUUUAUGCCCCAUACUCCCUCAACUUCGACCUUUUAUGCCCCAUACUCCCUCAACUUCGACCUUUUAUGCCCCAUACUCCCUCAACUUCAACCUUUUUGAAACGCUCCAUCUCUAUAAAUCCACCCUACCUUCACCCGUUUUCCCUAUGCUGCUUCCUUCACUUGUUCUCCUGAUUAGAUAACAUCGAGAUUCAAGAACGUUGACAGCAGCAACAUGGACCUGUUAAAUUGACAAGAAGGGUGUUGAUAUAGUUGCGUUUAGGCAUGGCUUCCUUGUUUUCAGUCUUAAGUGUGAUUCUCAUUCUGCUGUAGUUUACAUAAACUCAGCAAAAAAAGAAACGUCCCCUUUUCAGGACCCUGUCUUU